UACGAAGGGGGCUAGCGUUGCUCGGAAUCACUGGGCGUAAAGCGCACGUAGGCGGAUCUUUAAGUCAGGGGUGAAAUCCUGGAGCUCAACUCCAGAACUGCCUCUGAUACUGGGGAUCUUGAGUCCGGAAGAGGUAAGUGGAACUGCGAGUGUAGAGGUGAAAUUCGUAGAUAUUCGCAAGAACACCAGUGGCGAAGGCGGCUUACUGGUCCGGUACUGACGCUGAGGUGCGAAAGCGUGGGGAGCAAACAGGG
rnacentral:rRNA from 1 species